UUUCCUACGGGAGGCAGCAGUGAGGAAUAUUGCUCAAUGGACGAAAGUCUGAAGCAGCAACGCCGCGUGAGGGAUGAAGGUGCUCUGCAUUGUAAACCUCUGUAGUUGGGGACAAAAAACGGGUUACUACCCGUCUGAUGGUACCCAAAAAGUAAGGAUCGGCUAACUACGUGCCAGCAGCCGCGGUAAUACGUAGGAUCCAAGCGUUGUCCGGAUUUACUGGGUGUAAAGGGUGCGCAGGCGGACUUGUUAGUCAGAGGUGAAAUCUCACUGCUUAACAGUGAAACUGCCUUUGAUACUGCAGGUCUUGAAUCCAGAAGAGAGUUGUGGAAUUCCGAGUGUAGCAGUGAAAUGUGUAGAUAUUCGGAAGAACACCAGCGGCGAAGGCAGCAACUUGGUCUGGUAUUGACGCUCAGGCACGAAAGCAUGGGGAUCAAACAGGAUUAGAUGCCCUGGUAGUCCAUGCCCUAAACGAUGAUCACUUGAUGUCGGCCCUCAGGGUCGGUGUCGAAGCUAACGCGUUAAGUGAUCCACCUGGGGAGUACGCUCGCAAGGGUGAAACUCAAAGGAAUUGACGGGGGCCCGCACAAGCAGUGGAGCAUGUGGUUUAAUUCGAUGCAACGCGAAGAACCUUACCUAGGCUUGAAAGGCUCUCUAAACCGGUGAAAGCCGGCUACCCGCAAGGGGGGGAGUACAGGUGCUGCAUGGCUGUCGUCAGCUCGUGCCGUGAGGUGUUUGGUUAAGUCCAGCAACGAGCGCAACCCCUGGAUCUAGUUACCAGCGAGUAAUGUCGGGAACUCUAGAUCGACUGCCUACGCAAGUAGUGAGGAAGGUGGGGACGACGUCAAGUCAUCAUGGCCCUUACGCCUAGGGCUACACACGUGCUACAAUGGCGUCUACAACGCGCAGCAAGACCGUGAGGUGGAGCGAAUCGCUAAAAAGACGUCUCAGUUCGGAUCGGAGUCUGCAACUCGACUCCGUGAAGUUGGAAUUGCUAGUAAUCGCAGGUCAGCACACUGCGGUGAAUACGUUCC
rnacentral:rRNA from 1 species